GACGAACGCUGGCGGCGUGCUUAACACAUGCAAGUCGAACGGAAAGGCCCUGCUUGCAGGGUACUCGAGUGGCGAACGGGUGAGUAACACGUGGGUGAUCUGCCCUGCGCUUCGGGAUAAGCCUGGGAAACUGGGUCUAAUACCGGAUAGGAGCCAUUUUUAGUGUGAUGGUUGGAAAGUUUUUUCGGUGUAGGAUGAGCUCGCGGCCUAUCAGCUUGUUGGUGGGGUAAUGGCCUACCAAGGCGGCGACGGGUAGCCGGCCUGGGAGGGUGGACGGCCAAAAUGGGACUGAGAUACGGCCCAGACUCCGACGGGAGGCAGCAGUGGGGAAUAUUGCACAAUGGGCGCAAGCCUGAUGCAGCGACGCCGCGUGGGGGAUGACUGCCUUCGGGUUGGAAACCCCUUUCGCUAGGGACGAAGCUUUUUGUGACGGUACCUAGAAAAGAAGCACCGGCUAACUACGUG
rnacentral:rRNA from 1 species